UCAAACGGUCAAGAAGCUCUUUCAAUUUUUCAACUUCAUAAUUGAUCUAGAAGGAUUUAAUGUUGCAGUCUCUGAUUGUUGGAAUGUUCAAAUUCGUGGCAACCCAAUGUUUAUUCUUUUUGAAAAGAUGAGGAGAACUAAGAAAUCUAUUGUUCAACUUAACUCAUCGGCUGGUAAUCUUUCUAAUAAUGUAUGUAUCCUUCAGGCCCAGCUCUCUACCAUUCAGUCUUCUCUUCACUCUGAUCCCCACAACACCUCCUUUCUCAGUCAGGAAUUUCUUUGUAUGCAGUCGCUAUGGAAAGCCCUUGCUUUACAGGAUCUCUGUUGCAACAAAAAU
rnacentral:lncRNA from 1 species